rnacentral:rRNA from 1 species
UACGUAGGGUGCAAGCGUUGUCCGGAAUUAUUGGGCGUAAAGAGCUCGUAGGCGGUUUGUCGCGUCUGCUGUGAAAACGCGAGGCUCAACCUCGCGCCUGCAGUGGGUACGGGCAGACUGGAGUGCGGUAGGGGAGAUUGGAAUUCCUGGUGUAGCGGUGGAAUGCGCAGAUAUCAGGAGGAACACCGAUGGCGAAGGCAGAAUCUCUGGGCCGUAACUGACGCUGAGGAGCGAAAGCGUGGGGAGCGAACAGG